AUAAAGAUAUGAAGGAAUGCUAAAUGAUUUAUUAAUUACACUACAUAGUGUUUAAGAAACACGUAAGAAUAACAACACUGCUUCAGAUUAGCAAAAUAAUCAAUUUUAUUAUAAAGUUGAGUUUUAAAGUAAAUAAAUUGAAAAUUUGAUUUUUGUUUAGAUUUUAACAGCUGACGGAGGAAUAAUAGAGAUUAGCACAGAAGUAGAAUACCAAGUAGCAGAUAUUAUUCAUUUUGUUACAAGAGUUCAGAAAUUAGAAGAAGUGUUUAAUCAGCUUAGUCAUCAAUGCCUAGUAAACACUGCUUCUCAAAAACCACAAGAUGAUUUUGAAAAUAAAAAAACAGUUUUUGAAAGUAGUUUCCAAGAAGAACUAAAUAAGACAAUUGUAUCUUGGGGACUGGAAAUUACUAAAGUUCAAUUGCAAUCCGUAAAAGUAUUGAAAGCUGCCGAACCAAUAGACGCCUUAAGUAAUUUGAUCUCGAGUUUAAGAGUGGCGUUUGGCUUCGUUUCAGAAGAAAAUCCCGUUUCAGGUUAGAAUAAUUAUAAUUUAUGAUAUUAAUAAUAACUUGUUUAUUAUCUAAAAAUAUUUUCAAUAUGUGGGCAUUAAUAUGUAUAAGUGUAAGAAGAAAAUGUUAUUUAAUACCAAAUUUUUAUAAUCAAUUUUUUAUUAUUUAAAUUUUAUAUAAGGAGAAUUAAAGUUAAUAAUAAUCAUCCAUUUUCAACUAAUUGUACAUUAAGAGUUUAAAAAUGCCUUUAAAAAAAUUAUAAUAAGC